UACACUGUACUAUGUAGUACAUCUUGUGCUCCGCAAGCAAUGAACAUGUACUGCAUGGUUCUCUAGUUGGUGAUUAAAUGCCAUGAAGUCAAUAGAUCUUCUUCACUCUUCUUCUCUUUGCUUUUAUGCUUGUCAAUAACCUCCCGCUCUCAUCUAUACGAGCUCUCGAAUUGGCACAUAUCGAUCGACUACACCGCAUGUUAUGGAACCAAGAGCUGAUGCAUCCCUAACUGGAGCGUUUGCGCACACAAUAUCCAUGUGCACAGUUGAUACAACUUGCAUCAUCCACAUAGACGAACCAUCGCUAAAUGUUCGGGAUUGUGCACCCGGAGUGAGACCGGAUUGUGCACCGGGACUUCUCACUCCUUAAAUCACGUAAACCUUACAUAGAGUCUGCACGGAGUGAAGUUAAGCUUCCUUCUGGUUGUAAACUUCUCUUAAUGAACUCUAUUAUUGUGCAAUAGAUAUAGAGGAAUGAUUUACGGGUCUGGGCUUAUUUACCUAAAGCAGGCUUCCUCGUCAUCA